GACGAACGCUGGCGGCGUGCCUAAUACAUGCAAGUAGAACGCUGAAGAGAGGAGCUUGCUCUUCUUGGAUGAGUUGCGAACGGGUGAGUAACGCGUAGGUAACCUGCCUUGUAGCGGGGGAUAACUAUUGGAAACGAUAGCUAAUACCGCAUAACAAUGGAUGACACAUGUCAUUUAUUUGAAAGGGGCAAUUGCUCCACUACAAGAUGGACCUGCGUUGUAUUAGCUAGUAGGUGAGGUAACGGCUCACCUAGGCGACGAUACAUAGCCGACCUGAGAGGGUGAUCGGCCACACUGGGACUGAGACACGGCCCAGACUCCUGCGGGAGGCAGCAGUAGGGAAUCUUCGGCAAUGGGGGCAACCCUGACCGAGCAACGCCGCGUGAGUGAAGAAGGUUUUCGGAUCGUAAAGCUCUGUUGUAAGUCAAGAACGAGUGUGAGAGUGGAAAGUUCACACUGUGACGGUAGCUUACCAGAAAGGGACGGCUAACUACGUGCCAGCAGCCGCGGUAAUACGUAGGUCCCGAGCGUUGUCCGGAUUUAUUGGGCGUAAAGCGAGCGCAGGCGGUUUGAUAAGUCUGAAGUUAAAGGCUGUGGCUCAACCAUAGUUCGCUUUGGAAACUGUCAAACUUGAGUGCAGAAGGGGAGAGUGGAAUUCCAUGUGUAGCGGUGAAAUGCGUAGAUAUAUGGAGGAACACCGGUGGCGAAAGCGGCUCUCUGGUCUGUAACUGACGCUGAGGCUCGAAAGCGUGGGGAGCGAACAGGAUUAGAUACCCUGGUAGUCCACGCCGUAAACGAUGAGUGCUAGGUGUUGGAUCCUUUCCGGGAUUCAGUGCCGCAGCUAACGCAUUAAGCACUCCGCCUGGGGAGUACGACCGCAAGGUUGAAACUCAAAGGAAUUGACGGGGGCCCGCACAAGCGGUGGAGCAUGUGGUUUAAUUCGAAGCAACGCGAAGAACCUUACCAGGUCUUGACAUCCCGAUGCUAUUUCUAGAGAUAGAAAGUUACUUCGGUACAUCGGUGACAGGUGGUGCAUGGUUGUCGUCAGCUCGUGUCGUGAGAUGUUGGGUUAAGUCCCGCAACGAGCGCAACCCCUAUUGUUAGUUGCCAUCAUUCAGUUGGGCACUCUAGCGAGACUGCCGGUAAUAAACCGGAGGAAGGUGGGGAUGACGUCAAAUCAUCAUGCCCCUUAUGACCUGGGCUACACACGUGCUACAAUGGUUGGUACAACGAGUUGCGAGUCGGUGACGGCAAGCUAAUCUCUUAAAGCCAAUCUCAGUUCGGAUUGUAGGCUGCAACUCGCCUACAUGAAGUCGGAAUCGCUAGUAAUCGCGGAUCAGCACGCCGCGGUGAAUACGUUCCCGGGCCU
rnacentral:rRNA from 1 species